UCAUGACCACGUUGCCCUUGAAGGGUAAUAAAUGAGCCGUCUCCUCUCCUUUUGCUGCAACCUAAUUGUCUUUGAAAGGCUCCAUUAGAGAACUGAACGUCCACUUGAACCCUCUGCAGAGUGCAGAUCACGGAGGCCGUCUGUCUCGUGGCUAUUGUAAGCGAAGGACGACGCGGUAAUGUUUGGACUGAAAUCUGCGCGGUGGAAGGCGAGAACCUUUGAUCAACACAUUUCCACACUUCAGUUCACCGCUUUGAACCAUUGCUAACGAUUAGACCCGGACAAAGGCAUCAAACACGCCGGUUGACGGCAUUAUCAUUGCGCCAACUCUUUGAAGAAAGAAAAAGUCCAGCUCAUGCUGUGGGCUGAAUAAAAUGGGCGAAUAUGCUAAAUGACACAAGUUCACAUCCAAUCCUAUUUUCCAACUCCUAUACGCACACUUACUGUGCUCGUGUUUUUGCGUGUUGGUGUUUAUCUGCGUGCAUCACAGUAUUCAUGAAAAUUAUGCGAUAAUGGAGCAGUCACUCUAUCAUUUCUGUUAAUGCAGUUUUGCACGGGGCAACUUUAGAAACUAUUUGCCACCAACAUGACUGUGAAAAGGUAGCCACAGAUCCACGUGCACGAUGGAGUCGUUUGGGCCGCGACAGCAUCAGUAUGCCGGUAUGCUGCACAGGCGACAAAACGCACACGCUCGCACACCGGUGGGAAGUGGCAUUUCUCAGCCUGACAACGUGCACCUGCUGCCAGUGUUGAAACUGCCUGCAGUCCUGCACCGGAUGGUGAACGAGUGAAUUCUGCGGGUCCGCGUGCAGCACUUGGCUCUGCCGGAUCCAUUGUCCUGCUGGAAAAUGGUUGCCGCCAACUUCUUCCCAAAUGUUCCCUCUUAGUUUCUCAUGUGUGAAGGCUUCUCCCCCCAUUCACUCGCUUCACUCCAGCCUGAUCUGCACAUUUCCAAAAAAUGGCAGCAAAACUCUUAAUGAUCUCAGCUGCUCCCUGAAAUGGAGACGGUGCCCUCUAAAUGAACGCUUCUGCUCUGUCGUCCUUCAGCACGCGGCCCACAUUCGUCUACACUCCUUUUGUUGUGUGCACCUAUUGUCUUUUUAAGCUCCCAGGUGUGCUUCCGUUAAUGGUGAUUAGGAGACAUGAUGACCAAAGACUUGAUGAGACCUUUUGUUUGACACGCAUCGGUGUGCAAAGCCAUUUCUGUUCUUAAUUACAGUAAGUGACUUCAUGCAAAGAGCCUGCGAUCCGGUCGCGGCGAAACGCGUGAGGAGGUCACAAAGAAGGGAAUCUUUCAAUUACCGAUAAGCACACUUUGACCUGUUUUCACAUUUAUAUUACGCCGAGCGGUAGUUUAAAGACCGGAAAUUAAGACAAGACUGACCUUGGUCAAAAACAAGUAGUAUUAUACUGUUCGUCCGUUCCGAGAGUCAUUAUUUAUUUUUCUCGUAUCCUCAUUAUCCUCUGGUGAUAAAUGUUUGACAUAUUACCCUCCUCCUCAUCUGCUGGAAAGAAACCCACAGCAGUAAUUUGAUACUAAUGUGAUAUAAUUGACUCUAAUUUCAACCUUCAGUCUGUUCAUAACAUAAAACAGGAAACAUCUAAAUUAAUUGGCAACCUCAGUGAGGUAAUCACAACAGCUGUAAUGACUGCUGUUCACUUCUGAGCGUCAGUGAGAUGAAUAUUGCCUAAAAAGACACAGAACUACAGCUCACUUUUGUAACACCCAGUAAAAGCUGUGUGAUGGCCACGUAUUUGUUCAAAAAAGUCCUAUAUGGAAUUGCCGAGGGGUUGAAAGGGAUAAAGACACAAACAUAGAAAAACCAAGGUCAUGAUUCACGCGUGAGAUGAAAUUGAGAUCCAAGGAAAACAGCACACCGUCCCCGGAUGAAAACGGUGCAUUUCAGGCGGGUGGUGUUUCCCUACGUGACCAGCAAGCGGCGCUGCUGUCAAGAUGAUGACGGACUGAGACUCGAACAGAGGGGGGGUUCACAGGGAAGGACAUGGUAAGAGCAGAUGAGGAGGAGUGGGAUCUCGAUUGAAUUCUUCUUUUUCUUUUUCGCCAUCAAGUCUACGCGUUGAGUGAAAGAGACAUAGUGGGGAGCGAAUGGACGCUUACGGCUCCGGUGAAUCAACAUCCAACCGGCAACUCAUGAGAAGGUGGGAGGAAUAUUUAAAAAACGUCAAGUUCCCAGGACGAACGGUUAGGUGGGGGCUGAGGCAGCCACUCACAAGGUCUUUUGGGCAGGGGGAUGGGGUCCUAUUGGUACAAGCACCCAGAGAGAGAGAGAAAGAGCGAGAGAGAAGGCAGGUGUUGUGUCACAGGGCGGCGCGAUGCAUUGUGGGAGUGCGUUGAGGUGCAGUGGUGUUGCCAUGGUGACAAGCUCCCACGAUCAGUCUUGGAAGUAGGAGCGACAGAAUGCAAAUCAGCUUACCCUACCUCCACUCUUCACUGCCGGGGCAACGGGACGACAACGUUUGACCUGCACUCGGUGCUCGGGAGAAACUCCCACCCUUUUUUUGCGACAUGCAAAGGAAGCCGCUUGGAGAGCCAGGGAGCGGCUUCAAGCACGCGGGGAGAGCAAUGCAGGAGUGGUUUGUCCGGGGGGGGUAGGGGGGUGUGGGCGGAUGAGGCAGUGGGGGUAAGUGUGGAGAGGUUCUGUAUGAGGGUUUGAGAUAUGUCAAAGGGGUCCUACUCACCAGACAGCUGUUGGACUCCUGGGCUGGUCGUGUGUGCUUAACAACUGGGCUCUGAAUCGUCUCCACUACCCGCUUAAAUCGCCGACUGGGACCUAAACGCCGUGACACAGGGGGAAAUAUUUGUCGCAUCGCAAUCUACAGGUAGCAGCAAGAAGGCAGGCCGAGUGUGUGGGAACUAUAUUGAUGGAUCAAUUAGAGAAAUAAAAAAAAAGAAUAAGGGUGUGCACAGUGUGAGCCUGAGAUGAUAAAUGGAGGUCAGAGAGGGGGGUACCAGUAAGCUCACGCUGCAGGAUACAGCAGGUAACAUGGAAGAACCAGCAUGCUCUUGAGUACCACUAUUACACGCAAUUCAGCUGAAAUGUGCACCCCCCCCGGAGAGAGAGAGAGAAUGCAUGUGUUUCUGCAAGAUUAAGAGUGCGCGCUUAGUAUGUAAUCUUGCAUAGUCAGACCUCAUCUUGUUACGCUGAGGGAGGUUGGAGGGGGGGGGGG
ensembl:lncRNA